AUGGCAUUACAUGAAGAUUUAUUACACCACAAAAAUCAUAAAAGAAUAUCUAUUCUAAUCCUAAUUCUAUUAAGCUUCAUACAACUUUUCUAUAGACUUCUUCCAAACAAUAGUUUAUCGUACCAAAUAGCCCUCAUGCUGCAAUCUCUCAAACCUAUCUAUCUUCGUCAAAUGACUUCACAAACUUGCUGCCCGGUUCUAACAACAUACUCAAACUUGCACCAAUAUCAAACUGGUCCGAAGUGA